AGUGAACGCUGGCGGUAGGCCUAACACAUGCAAGUCGAACGGCAGCACAGUAAGAGCUUGCUCUUACGGGUGGCGAGUGGCGGACGGGUGAGGAAUACAUCGGAAUCUACUUUUUCGUGGGGGAUAACGUAGGGAAACUUACGCUAAUACCGCAUACGACCUACGGGUGAAAGCAGGGGAUCUUCGGACCUUGCGCGAUUGAAUGAGCCGAUGUCGGAUUAGCUAGUUGGCGGGGUAAAGGCCCACCAAGGCGACGAUCCGUAGCUGGUCUGAGAGGAUGAUCAGCAACACUGGAACUGAGACACGUUCCAGACUCCUACGGGAGGCAGCAGUGGGGAAUAUUGGACAAUGGGCGCAAGCCUGAUCCAGCCAUACCGCGUGGGUGAAGAAGGUCUUCGGGUUGUAAAGCCCUUUUGUUGGGAAAGAAAAGCAGCAGGUUAAUACCCCGCUGUUCUGACGGUACCCAAAGAAUAAGCACCGGCUAACUUCGUG
rnacentral:rRNA from 1 species